UGGCCUGUUAGGCCCAAACUUGAGAUGCUGAUUUGUUGAUAUGUUUCGUCUCUUCUACUUCUCCAUCUCCGUUGCCGAUUCUUUCACCUCUGUUUUUGGAAAACCUCCUUUUCUUUUAUGGUAAAACCUCCGUUAUUUUGAUGAAACCAACCUCAAAUUAAUUUUUAUCAGUAAAAGCAGAUGGAUUGUUGGUUGUGCGGCUAGCUGUGCGAUUGACAUCAAAAUUCACAAAGGAUGAGUCCCCUGUUCGUUUUAUCAACGCUGCGACAAGCCGCGGCAGCUCAAAAUCAUCUCUUCAGUUACGGCAAACACGUGACUCGCCGUUCGUUCUAGAUCCACCAUUGAAGUGUGUCUCUUCAGAUUCGGGAAUCUUGGAAUGUGAAGAAAUCCGGUGAAUUUAUGGGGGUUCGUAUGCUUCUCCUUGAUGGAAAAUUAAUUCCGUUACUUUGUCGAAGACAAAAAGAAAGGAAGGGAGGGAGCACAAGGAGAGUGUUGUUAAUUGAAACAGAGAGGCUGUCAAGAAAUAUA